CUGAUGCAAACCUGGUCAAAUAAAAGCAAACAUUUGACAAAGUGAUUGAAUUCAACGAAGAAUUCAAGCGGACGUCAAACGAAUGACUGAUGCAAACCAGGUCAAAUAAAAGCAAACAUUUGACAAAGUGAUUGAAUUCAACGAAGAAUUCAAGCGGACGUCAAACGAAUGACUGAUGCAAACCAGGUCAAAUAAAAGCAAACAUUUGACAAAGUGAUUGAAUUCAACGAAGAAUUCAAGCGGACGUCAAACGAAUGACUGAUCCAAACCAGGUCAAAUAAAAGCAAACAUUUGACAAAGUGAUUGAAUUCAACGAAGAAUUCAAGCGGACGUCAAACGAAUGACUGAUGCAAACCAGGUCAAAUAAAAGCAAACAUUUGACAAAGUGAUUGAAUUCAACGAAGAAUUCAAGCGGACGUCAAACGAAUGACUGAUCCAAACCAGGUCAAAUAAAAGCAAACAUUUGACAAAGUGAUUGAAUUCAACGAAGAAUUCAAGCGGACGUCAAACGAAUGACUGAUGCAAACCAGGUCAAAUAAAUGCAAACAUUUGACAAAGUGAUUGAAUUCAACGAAGAAUUCAAGCGGACGUCAAACGAAUGACUGAUCCAAACCAGGUCAAAUAAAAGCAAACCUUUGACAAAGUGAAUGAAUUCAACGAAGAAUUCAAGCGGACGUCAAACGAAUGACUGGUGCAAACCAGGUCAAAUAAAAGCAAACAUUUGAAAAAGUGAUUGAA